GACGAACGCUGGCGGCGUGCUUAACACAUGCAAGUCGAACGGUAAGGCCCUUCGGGGUACACGAGUGGCGAACGGGUGAGUAACACGUGGGUGAUCUGCCCUGCACUUCGGGAUAAGCCUGGGAAACUGGGUCUAAUACCGGAUAGGACCACUGCCUGCAUGGGUGGUGGUGGAAAGCUUUUGCGGUGUGGGAUGGGCCCGCGGCCUAUCAGCUUGUUGGUGGGGUGAUGGCCUACCAAGGCGACGACGGGUAGCCGGCCUGAGAGGGUGACCGGCCACACGGGGACUGGGAGACGGCCCAGACUCCUACGGGAGGCAGUAGUGGGGAAUAUUGCACAAUGGGCGAAAGCCUGAUGCAGCGACGCCGCGUGAGGGAUGACGGCCUUCGGGUUGUAAACCUCUUUCAGCACCGACGAAGCGCAAGUGACGGUAGGUGCAGAAGAAGGACCGGCCAACUACGUGCCAGCAGCCGCCGUAA
rnacentral:rRNA from 1 species